UUUAUGGAGAGUUUGAUCCUGGCUCAGGAUGAACGCUGGCGGCGUGCCUAAUACAUGCAAGUCGAGCGAACGGACGAGAAGCUUGCUUCUCUGAUGUUAGCGGCGGACGGGUGAGUAACACGUGGAUAACCUACCUAUAAGACUGGGAUAACUUCGGGAAACCGGAGCUAAUACCGGAUAAUAUUUUGAACCGCAUGGUUCAAAAGUGAAAGACGGUCUUGCUGUCACUUAUAGAUGGAUCCGCGCUGCAUUAGCUAGUUGGUAAGGUAACGGCUUACCAAGGCAACGAUGCAUAGCCGACCUGAGAGGGUGAUCGGCCACACUGGAACUGAGACACGGUCCAGACUCCUACGGGAGGCAGCAGUAGGGAAUCUUCCGCAAUGGGCGAAAGCCUGACGGAGCAACGCCGCGUGAGUGAUGAAGGUCUUCGGAUCGUAAAACUCUGUUAUUAGGGAAGAACAUAUGUGUAAGUAACUGUGCACAUCUUGACGGUACCUAAUCAGAAAGCCACGGCUAACUACGUGCCAGCAGCCGCGGUAAUACGUAGGUGGCAAGCGUUAUCCGGAAUUAUUGGGCGUAAAGCGCGCGUAGGCGGUUUUUUAAGUCUGAUGUGAAAGCCCACGGCUCAACCGUGGAGGGUCAUUG
rnacentral:rRNA from 1 species